rnacentral:rRNA from 1 species
CAGGUGGUCAGGUAGAGAAUACCAAGGCGCUUGAGAGAACUCGGGUGAAGGAACUAGGCAAAAUGGUGCCGUAACUUCGGGAGAAGGCACGCUGACACGUAGGUGAAGUGAUUUACUCAUGGAGCUGAAGUCAGUCGAAGAUACCAGCUGGCUGCAACUGUUUAUUAAAAACACAGCACUGUGCAAACACGAAAGUGGACGUAUACGGUGUGACGCCUGCCCGGUGCCGGAAGGUUAAUUGAUGGGGUCAGCGUAAGCGAAGCUCCUGAUCGAAGCCCCGGUAAACGGCGGCCGUAACUAUAACGGUCCUAAGGUAGCGAAAUUCCUUGUCGGGUAAGUUCCGACCUGCACGAAUGGCGUAAUGAUGGCCAGGCUGUCUCCACCCGAGACUCAGUGAAAUUGAACUCGCUGUGAAGAUGCAGUGUACCCGCGGCAAGACGGAAAGACCCCGUGAACCUUUACUAUAGCUUGACACUGAACAUUGAGCCUUGAUGUGUAGGAUAGGUGGGAGGCUUUGAAGUGUGGACGCCAGUCUGCAUGGAGCCGACCUUGAAAUACCACCCUUUAAUGUUUGAUGUUCUAACGUGGACCCGUAAUCCGGGUUGCGGACAGUGUCUGGUGGGUAGUUUGACUGGGGCGGUCUCCUCCUAAAGAGUAACGGAGGAGCACGAAGGUUGGCUAAUCCUGGUCGGACAUCAGGAGGUUAGUGCAAUGGCAUAAGCCAGCUUGACUGCGAGCGUGACGGCGCGAGCAGGUGCGAAAGCAGGUCAUAGUGAUCCGGUGGUUCUGAAUGGAAGGGCCAUCGCUCAACGGAUAAAAGGUACUCCGGGGAUAACAGGCUGAUACCGCCCAAGAGUUCAUAUCGACGGCGGUGUUUGGCACCUCGAUGUCGGCUCAUCACAUCCUGGGGCUGAAGUAGGUCCCAAGGGUAUGGCUGUUCGCCAUUUAAAGUGGUACGCGAGCUGGGUUUAGAACGUCGUGAGACAGUUCGGUCCCUAUCUGCCGUGGGCGCUGGAGAACUGAGGGGGGCUGCUCCUAGUACGAGAGGACCGGAGUGGACGCAUCACUGGUGUUCGGGUUGUCAUGCCAAUGGCACUGCCCGGUAGCUAAAUGCGGAAGAGAUAAGUGCUGAAAGCAUCUAAGCACGAAACUUGCCCCGAGAUGAGUUCUCCCUGAGACUUAGAGUCUCCUGAAGGAACGUUGAAGACGACGACGUUGAUAGGCCGGGUGUGUAAGCGCAGCGAUGCGUUGAGCUAACCGGUACUAAUGAACCGUGAGGCUUAACCUUACAAC